UGUCGUGAGAUGUUGGGUUAAGUCCCGCAACGAGCGCAACCCUUGUCAUUAGUUGCCAUCAUUAAGUUGGGCACUCUAAUGAGACUGCCGGUGACAAACCGGAGGAAGGUGGGGAUGACGUCAAGUCAUCAUGCCCCUUAUGACCUGGGCUACACACGUGCUACAAUGGACGGUACAACGAGAAGCGAACCUGCGAAGGCAAGCGGAUCUCUUAAAGCCGUUCUCAGUUCGGACUGUAGGCUGCAACUCGCCUACACGAAGCUGGAAUCGCUAGUAAUCGCGGAUCAGCACGCCGCGGUGAAUACGUUCCCGGGCCUUGUACACACCGCCCGUCACACCAUGAGAGUCUGUAACACCCAAAGCCGGUGGGAUAACCUUUAUAGGAGUCAGCCGUCUAAGGUAGGACAGAUGAUUAGGGUGAAGUCGUAACAAGGUAGCCGU
rnacentral:rRNA from 1 species